rnacentral:lncRNA from 1 species
AAACUGACGCAAUACUUCAAAUAACAGCAAGAAGCAAUCUACUAUAUCAGAUAACAUACAUACAAAUGUGAUCAGCAUCAAGUUUACAAUUAGAUAACAGCUCUACAAGUGUACAGUCUACCACAUACAAAUUAUAUAACAGCUCUAUCACAUGAGCCCUACAAGUUCUGCUACAUCACACAUACAAAUAGGAUCAGCCUAAAGGGUUUCAUUACUCCCAGAACUAGCUCCAACUAGCUUCUUCCAACUUCUUUGUCUUGAAGCUCGUGAAGAAACAUGAAAGGCCAGCAUCUGCACGUUAUAGAACAAAAUGAUUAGGAACAAAAUAUAAGUAUAUCUAACAGCAUAUUUAACAGUAAAUAACAGAAUAAUGCAAUAAAUUGGUACAGAGCAAGGUACAGAGCACAGGCCAGGUCAACAAUAAAUAGGUACUAAAUCCAUAAAUAACCAUCUGAAAUGAACUUAAUGAGACAUUUUAGAAUCAACUUGACAGUUAACAGUAAUGUUUGCAUUGGCCACAUCCAGAACUAGAACUGAAAUCAUUUACUCUAUCAAGCAUAUCUACAAUGAUGCAGCACACAAAAAAAGAGAGGUGCACAACAGAGCAGCAUCAUAUAUCACACAACAUGGACACUCUUUGAACAAACAUAGUGUUCCGGUCUAAAACCACAGCCAAUUUCGGAAGCAUGUCGAAUAACUAAACAUACAUACAUGUGAAUAAUUAAACAUACAUACAUGUGUAUAUAGAAGCAGCAGAAGCAAAUAAUAACUAGAACAUGAUAAGCUUAGACUCAAGUGAUCGUGAGACACCAAUAUGAGCUUAGAAUUCACAAGUACACAUUAAUUGUAAUCACUUAGUAGUCAUCCGCCUAAGCAAGCACAGAAGUACAAUGCUUCAGAUACAUGUAUGUAGCAAGAAAAACAGGCAAUGUGAUGACAGUAUGAGCGCACAAUAAUUUUGGGAGUAAAAAGAACAUAAAUAAAACAACACAAUGCUUGAGAUACAUGUAUGCAGCAAGAAAAACAAGCAAUGUGAUGACAGUAUGAGCGCGCAAUAAUUCUGGGAGUAAAAACAAGCAAUACAACAAUCUCUGGAACACCUAGGUAUGAUUGCUUGUUGUUCAUGAGUGUCAACCAUCUGCAUGUGUGUACAUCAAAAAGAAAACAACAGGAUUCAAUUCAUCUUGCCCAUAUACAGCAACCAAUAGACAUCAAACAUCAUUAGAUUACCACAAACUGAAAUACAAAAUCACGAUGAUAGGUCCACAUGCUUCUAUUGUCAGCAUGAUAAAUUGAUAUGCAUCGAACUUGCAUGAUGUUUGAUGAACUUUGUGCACUACUGUAUUGAUAUGCAUCAGUUCCAAAUUGGUGUGCACUACUGUUGUCAGCAUGAUAAAUUGAUAUGCACUGUUGUUGUUGCUGCUGUUAAACAAAUCACUACUGCUACUCCUGAGAGCAAUUCCUACUCCUGCACAGAAAGUUUACUCCUAGGAGUAUACUGGAAAAGUUUACUCCAGCAAACAAAGAGAAGAGAAGAGAGAAGAGAAAGAAAAACUUAACAGCAGUAACGAAGUCCUAUACUACUGUUGUCCUACACUAAACUACUGCAACCAGUACUGAUGCAAGCUUAACAGCAGCAGCAAGUGCUAUACUACUGAUGUCCAGAGUACACUUAAAUGAAAUAAUUCAUUUAUUUUUAAAAGUACUGAUGCAAGCAAUAGACUACACAAAACCUUCAUUAAAGGAGUACUCCAAUUCAUCUUUAAAACAGUUUAUGCAAGCAUUAAAGGAAUAGUUUCAGUUAUUUUUGAUUAACUGGGAAGGUUUUAGCUAAUUUUAUUAAAGGAAAAGGUUUAGUUAAUUUUAAUUAAAAGAAGAGAAGAGAAGAGAAUAGCAGAGCAAGCAAUGCUACUGCUCCAAGCUAAUCUGACUGCAAAUCAGUAAUUACUGCAAGCAGCUCCAUGAAAAGUACUCCAAGCAGUACAAAUUUAAUUAAUGGAAAAGAUUCACCUAGCAAGGUUUAUUUGACAUGGAGUAGUUUAAUCGCUGCUCCAAAACAAGCAAACAUGCUACUGAUGCAUGACAAUAUGUGUCAAAGAGUUUCUACAAGAAGUUACUCCUAUUGCUACUGAUGCAAAACUACUCCUAAUGGACUGCUACAGCUAUACUGCAAGAAGUUACAGCUAUACUCCAUGUACUGCUGUCCAGAAGUAUUCCAAUUCAUCUUUAAAAAAAUGUUCAAGCACUGACUGAAAAAGGAAUGCAAAAAGAGAUGCAGUACGUAGCUGUACUCAAGUGGAGAGCAUCCGCCCAAAAGAAAACAAAGAUAAUGGCUGAAAAAAUUACUCCGGUUUAAACUCCUCUUUUAGCAGUACAAAUUAUAGCUACUGCAACAUCAUGGAAGCUGAUGUCCAGGAGUAUUUGCAAAUGAUAUAGCAUCAUGGAGUAGGAUAACAUGUUUUAGCAGUACAGGUUAUAGAGUAAGCAAGCAAGCAAGCAAUCAUGGGAGAUAAUGCUGCCAAUUAAUAUCAGCACCAAUGUUUUUGAGUCGAUGAGUCGACGGGUCGCUCGGGGAGGGCGACUCUAGACUAGUCGUGACUAGUCUAGACUCACGGUCGAUGAGUCGACAUGGCGACGAGUCAACGCGAGUUAAGCAGCAGGCAGUCAGGGGAGGAGCACAAGUGCACAGCAGCAGCAGCAACCAGGGGAGGAGGGGAGGAGCACACCACCACCAGCAGUAACCAGGGCCAACUGAGAGAUGGGCCACUAGUUAUGCACUUCCCUGUGGCCCAAAAGCCCAUCUAGUAGCUAUAUACUCCUCCUGUGACCUAAUCCACCAUCCACACUCCCUCCUCCCUCACCACAGCCGCCACACAUUCUGCGGCCACUCUCUUGCCACCAGUCCACCACUCCUCCCAGCGAUGGAUCUCUCAACUCCCCCGCAGCAGCUCUCUUGCCACCGCUCCUCCUCCCAGCCUGCUCCUCUUGCCGCUUCAGCUUCAGCAGCAGCAGCAGCGCGGUGGCAAGGGCGCAGCAGCAGCAGCGAGGCAGCACAGCAGCAGCAGCAGCACGGCGGCGGGAGAGUGCUCCAGAUCCAGCGCUGCCUCAAGUCGUUCGACCCAAAAACCGCGACUAGUCGUGACUAGUCGAGACUAGUCGCGCGAGUCGCUCGACUCAUCCCAGGAGUCGAGUCGAGAGGCUGAGUCGGCCCUGGAACUGCGACUCGUCGACUAGUCGACGACUAGUCGAGCGACUCAAAAUCCAUGAUCAGCACAUGACAAGACAAAAAGCAUGGCAUGAACACAAGCAUCAAUAGCAUACUAACACCUAAACUGCUACUAAAUUGAUGGAGUCCCAUCCAUCCAUGAGAGAAGAAAGUUCCUUUGUGGUUGAUAAAGAGAAGAGAACACUUCCUCUUGCUGGGAUCAAACCAGAGGAUACCAACCUGUCCACCAAUUUGCAGGUUGUGUGGCUCAAGGUCAUGGUGCCGGACACCGCGUCCGUGGCAAAAAGCAAUGCCCUUGCAAAGCUGGUACACCAUGAUCUACAUGCAUACCAGCAAGUUCACCAACAACGAAUAAGUCAAUCAAACGCCGUCGGCGCAUUCAAAUAUUUUAUGAGGAGAACUAGAUAAAAAUGGAUUUACUAGAUAAAAACGAAUCAGUCAAUCAAACACUUGUUAUGAGAAGAAAGUACUGGCAGAGAGCAAACUAAAUAAAAAUGGCUUACUAACGUGUGUACGUGUUGGAGCUUUGUCAUGCAUGCAAAUAUUUUAUGAGGAGAACUAGAUACAUGUAUGUGAUCAUUAGAAUGCAUACAUGUGUAGUCAUUCUUCCAAGCUAAGUAACGAUGCAUGUAAAUAGAGGUUGUGGUGGCAGCUUUCUGUUGCCUGGAAGGAUGAUAAUAUCCAUGGCCGCUGUCGUAGACAGUCUGCAGAGACUACGGAGCAGCUACGGCUUGGAAAGAGGAAAAUAAGGAAGAAGCUAGCUAUGCGAUGAUUUGUUCGCUUGCUCAGUUUCAAAAAAAGAGGUUGAGAGUUCUUUUUUUUAGACAGAGAUAAUACUGUGGUUUUGAAGAUACUGCAGUAUUAAUACUACAAUUUUUACUACUAGCCAAACAGGUUAGACUGAAUUAAACUAUAGUAUUUAGAAAAAUUGUAGUAUUUUUAGAAAACUUAGAAAAUACUUCGAUAUCAAACAGGGUGUCUUAGUAUCAACACAUCAGAAGUAUAGGAUCUGUCGGUACUGCAAGAGCAAUAUGCAUGAAUUAUAUCGCCAUUUAGGAAGAAAGGGCGCAACUAGAUUCAAGAGCAAUAUGAUGCAUGUGUGGUCUCCCGACAGGACCAGUGCAGAUGCAACCACCCAUGCCAUUUUUUUCCCACCCUGUGAACUUCCACGCUGUCCAUGAUCUACUAAGUGUUGCAGCAUUUAUAUUCCAACUAGCAGCAUGUUAUAGUCCAAGUUGAAGUAGAAAAGAAACCCACGAAUGAAUUAAAUCUGCUCAAUGUUGACUGAAAGUGUCAAGUUGCAACCAAAGUGAUACGACCAUGUCGCUGUUCUGCUACCUACUACUCAUGAUGCAGAGUUUUCUCAGAAUUUAAUGGCCGACAGACAGCUCCUAACUGAACCUGAACUUGAACCUGAAGCUGAAUGACUGGUCCCAAGAAAUCGCAAUGGGCCUGAACCUGAACCUCGUCUUGACAACCCCUGACUGAACCUCAACUAUCAAGUUAUCAAGUGCUUUUCGCAUGAUUGGGACUAGUAGAAGCGAGAAGUAGGGCUGCCUUAC